rnacentral:rRNA from 1 species
GAUGAACGCUGGCGGCGUGCCUAAUACAUGCAAGUCGAGCGAACAGACGAGGCGCUUGCUCCUCUGACGUUAGCGGCGGACGGGUGAGUAACACGUGGAUAACCUACCUAUAAGACUGGGAUAACUUCGGGAAACCGGAUCUAAUACCGGAUAAUAUAUUGAACCGCAUGGUUCAAUAGUGAAAGACGGUUUUGCUGUCACUUAUAGAUGGAUCCGGGCCGGAUUAGCUAGUUGGUAAGGUAACGGCUUACCAAGGCAACGAUGCGUAGCCGACCUGAGAGGGUGGUUGGCCACACUGGAACUUAGACACGGUCCAGACGACUAAGGGAAGGCGCAGUAGGGAAUCUUACGCAAUGGGCGGAAGCCUUGCGGAGCCAUGGCGCGUGAGUGAAGAAGGUCUUCGGAUCGGAAAGACCUUGUACUUGGGAAGAACAAAUGUGUAAGUAAAUAUGCACGUCUUGACGGUACCUAAUCAGAAAGCCACGGCUAACUACGUG